GAAAGAGGACUGCUGGAAACAACUUAGAAAAAAAGACUGGACAAGGAGAGAAGGGCUGAGCCCAGGCACGAAGGUUUUCUAGCCUGUGAAAAGAAUAUCUGGAAUUUUAAACUACAAGCAAGUGCGGCUUGCCUUCAAGAAUCUCUGCAAUCUGCCUAAAACAACAGUUAGGGAGCAGAGAUGCUCAAGACAAGGCCUUCCUGAUCUGAUUGGCAGCACUGGAUUAUAUGGUGCAGUCACUGUCAAGACAAGAAAAGUGUCAACAAUUGAAAUGUAGCUGUUUUUU